rnacentral:rRNA from 1 species
AUUGAACGCUGGCGGCAUGCCUAACACAUGCAAGUCGAACGGCAGCACAGUGCGUAGCAAUACGUAUGGGUGGCGAGUGGCGGACGGGUGAGGAAUGCAUCGGAAUCUACCCAGUAGCGGGGGAUAACCUGGGGAAACUCAGGCUAAUACCGCAUACGACCUAUGGGUGAAAGCGGGGGACCGUAAGGCCUCGCACUAUUGGAUCGAGCCGAUGCCGGAUUAGCUAGUUGGUAGGUAACGGCCUACCAAGGCGACGAUCCGUAGCUGGUCUGAGAGGACGAUCAGCCACACCGGAACUGAGACACGGUCCGGACUCCUACGGGAGGCAGCAGUGGGGAAUAUU